AAUUUUUUUUUUUAAUUUAUUGAAACCAUUUAAAUAGAAAAAAAAAUCCUUUUAAAAAAAAAUCCUUUUAGUUGUCAAACGAGUACCCCCUUAAACUACGUAAAUAAGGGGUACCCCUUGAAUUCUAUAAUUUAUUAAAAUUAAUUAAAUAAAAUUUCUUUCUUGAAAGUUCCCCAAAAUCACUUCAUCCGUUUUCACCUCACUAGUUUUAAAGUUAAAAAAAAAAUCAUCCAACAAAAGGACUUUCAUAAAAUUAAUCUUAAUUGGCAAGGUUCUACUUCUUAAAACCUUUUAACUUUGGAGAAGUACUCUAGAGU
rnacentral:misc_RNA from 1 species